AGUUGUAAAAAAUUUAUACCGGUAUGUUCUGCAAAUCGUAUGAUUUCACAUUGGUGCGAUUUACAAAAUCUAUUUCGGAAUAUUUAUAACAAAGAGGGAAAAUUUUAGCACU